GAACUCUCACUAGGGUCAAAGUCAGGUAAAACAGUCAACUCAGCCUUCCACGCAUUCCAGCUCUAAGUCUAGAAACCAUCCAGAGUGCGCCCCUUGGCGAAGGCGUUCAUCCAAGUUUUUGAACUAAACUCGAGAAAAGCCCUUAAUAGAAGUUGAAGUCCUAAGACCGAAGAGCAACUCCUUCAAUAACACCUAGGUCUUUUUCAAACUAGAAACUGCCCUAAAGUUGAGUCAAG
rnacentral:lncRNA from 1 species